rnacentral:misc_RNA from 1 species
GUUGGUAAUAGAAAAAGAAGACUGCGACGAAAUAGUGAUAGAGAGUGAGGAUUAAGAGACUUCCUUUAUGUAGCCCCAGAGUUCGUUCAUAAAUAUCUUGAACUCAUUAAGCGUUUUCUCGUCCAACUUCUUCU